GAUGAACGCUGGCGGCGUGCCUAAUACAUACAAGUCGAGCGAACAGACGAGGAGCUUGCUCCUCUGACGUUAGCGGCGGACGGGUGAGUAACACGUGGAUAACCUACCUAUAAGACUGGGAUAACUUCGGGAAACCGGAGCUAAUACCGGAUAAUAUAUUGAACCGCAUGGUUCAAUAGUGAAAGACGGUUUUGCUGUCACUUAUAGAUGGAUCCGCGCCGCAUUAGCUAGUUGGUAAGGUAACGGCUUACCAAGGCAACGAUGCGUAGCCGACCUGAGAGGGUGAUCGGCCACACUGAAACUGAGACACGGUCCAGACUCCUACGGGAGGCAGCAGUAGGGAAUCUUCCGCAAUGGGCGAAAGCCUGACGGAGCAACGCCGCGUGAGUGAUGAAGGUCUUCGGAUCGUAAAACUCUGUUAUUAGGGAAGAACAAAUGUGUAAGUAACUAUGCACGUCUUGACGGUACCUAAUCAGAAAGCCACGGCUAACUACGUG
rnacentral:rRNA from 1 species